AAUGAACGCUGGCGGCAGGCCUAACACAUGCAAGUCGAACGGAUCCUUCGGGAUUAGUGGCGGACGGGUGAGUAACGCGUGGGAACAUACCCUUUGGUACGGAAUAGCCUCGGGAAACUGGGAGUAAUACCGUAUGUGGUCGAGAGACGAAAGAUUUAUCGCCAAAGGAUUGGCCCGAGUUGGAUUAGGUAGUUGGUGGGGUAAUGGCCUACCAAGCCGACGAUCCAUAGCUGGGUGGAGAGGAUGAUCAGCCACACUGGGACUGAGACACGGCCCAGACUACUACGGGAGGCAGCAGUGGGGACUCUUAGACGAUUGGGGAAACCCUGAUCUAGCCAUGCCGCGUGAUCGAUGAAGGCCUUAGGGUUGUAAAGAUCUUUCAGGUGGGAAGAUAAUGACUGUACCACCAGAAGAAGCCCCGGCUAACUCCGUGCCAGCCGCCGCGGUAA
rnacentral:rRNA from 1 species